rnacentral:rRNA from 1 species
UACGUAGGGUGCAAGCGUUUAAUCGGAAUUACUGGGCGUAAAGCGUGCGCAGGCGGUUUUGUAAGUCUGUCGUGAAAUCCCCGGGCUCAACCUGGGAAUUGCGAUGGAGACUGCAAGGCUAGAAUCUGGCAGAGGGGGGGUAGAAUUCCACGUGUAGCAGUGAAAUGCGUAGAUAUCUGGAGGAACACCGGUGGCGAAGGCGGCAUCCUGGACCGACACUGACGCUGAGGAGCGAAAGCAUGGGGAGCGAACAGG